GACGAACGCUGGCGGCGUGCCUAAUACAUGCAAGUAGAACGCUGAAGAGAGGAGCUUGCUCUUCUUGGAUGAGUUGCGAACGGGUGAGUAACGCGUAGGUAACCUGCCUUGUAGCGGGGGAUAACUAUUGGAAACGAUAGCUAAUACCGCAUAACAAUGGAUGACACAUGUCAUUUAUUUGAAAGGGGCAAUUGCUCCACUACAAGAUGGACCUGCGUUGUAUUAGCUAGUAGGUGAGGUAACGGCUCAC
rnacentral:rRNA from 1 species